UUUCUCUUUUUCACUUUAUCAAUCAAUGAAGAGAGAGAGAGAGAGAGAGAGAGAGAGUUUAUAUCACUGCGACAUUUGCCCUCUUAUAGUUUUUUUUCUCAUUUUACUUAACAAAUUCCAAACACAAAAGCAUUAUAGUCAUUAUUCAUUGCCUAUGCAUAAACACAUUAACUUAUUUCAGUCUCCGGAUUCUUUUAUCAAAUGCCACAAUGCGUUAAAAGUCUGAUUAUCCCAUAAAUAAAAAAUCAAGACAAACUAACGUAAAGUCACUAAUAAUUAAUACAUCCUUGUGCCUCGUAAUUGGUGUGCGCUUACUUCCCAUCAUUAGACUCAGGUGUGUUCUGGUAGGGCACGGGCAGGUAAGGUUUGGUCAGUAAGGAGGAGGAAUAUCUUUAGGUUAUUGAUUCACUGGUUUAAUAUAGUUACUAGAGUUUGGAAGAGUUUGUUUAAUUCAUUGAUUCUCUGUUGUGUUAUAGUUGAGUUAGGAAGCAGUAUACUAUGUUUAGUUUAUUGAUUAUCUGUUUUAUCAUGUGUAACCCAACGUCUCUAGUCGCUCUUUUUCUUAUCACACACAUUCAGGUAAGGUUAGUUGAGUUAGGAAAAAGUAAGUAAUGUUAACGUUUUUGGUUGUCUGUUUUGUCAUGUGUAACCAAACGUCUCUAGUCUCUCUUUUU